rnacentral:lncRNA from 1 species
GCUGCCUGGGAAUCACGCUCCUUCCUGCUCUUUCCAAAAAGCCAGGUGCCGCCGGCCAGCAUCCCGCUCCCUUUGACCCGCAGUCUGUGCGGGAAGCAGGAGGUGGCCUUAGAAAGGCGGAGACCCAAGGAGCAGAGUGAGUCGGCCUCCAGCUCCACCUGAAAGCGCCAUCUUGUCGCCACUUCCCUCAGGAGCAGCAUGCCCAGCCUCUUGCAUAGGAAGAAGUGGUAAGCUAAGGAGAGAAAUGCAGGGUUCCUAGUACACCGAUUUUGCAACUUUUUCAUCUUGGCCCUGCUUUAAAAUGAUGCAUCUACUGUCUUCAUGCCUCAGCACAGCAGAGAAAACCAUGCUGUGUUCCAGUUUACUUUGAAUGUUUCAGUGAAAAUGAUGAAGCUGAAAAAAUGAUGGAGGCCCGUUUUACAUUGCAUUUCUCAGAGUCAUCGCCUCUGCUGCAGAUGGAACAGCAGCCAUGGAGAAUAAGGGUCACCUGAAUGUGGAAAAGUUGAGUUGGAGCAAAACUGGCAUGGCCGUACUGGAUGGACCUCAGCAUGACCAGGACACAUUUCAGCUCAAAUCCCCUGUGCCAAGAACACAUUCUGCCAAGGACCACCACCUCUUCCCACAACUAGAGCUGGCUUACCAGAGCACCGAUGGACUUGGAUACCUGAGAUAUCUGCUUGGGAUCCCACACUUUCAAGGUCUCUCCUCUGGCCUUCUUCUGGUUCUGCGACUCCUUACAGUGCUGGGAGUUGGUGAUGCCAACAGGACAUA